rnacentral:rRNA from 1 species
AGUAACACGUGGGCAACCUGCCUGUAAGACUGGGAUAACAUCGGGAAACCGAUGCUAAUACCGGAUAAUCCUUUCCUUCUCAUGAGGAAAAGCUGAAAGUCGGUUUCGGCUGACACUUACAGAUGGGCCCGCGGCGCAUUAGCUAGUUGGUGAGGUAACGGCUCACCAAGGCGACGAUGCGUAGCCGACCUGAGAGGGUGAUCGGCCACACUGGGACUGAGACACGGCCCAGACUCCUACGGGAGGCAGCAGUAGGGAAUCUUCCACAAUGGACGAAAGUCUGAUGGAGCAACGCCGCGUGAACGAUGAAGGCCUUCGGGUCGUAAAGUUCUGUUGUUAGGGAAGAACAAGUAUCGGAGUAACUGCCGGUACCUUGACGGUACCUAACCAGAAAGCCACGGCAAUACG